UUGUGCGGCUUUGAAUACACGCCAAGUCAUAGUUUGGAGAACUUUGAUGGGUCAGGUAUAACUUCUCAGCAGUGCCACUCGGACAGCUCUGGCACAGCUGACACAGGUGCACAGGGCACGCAUAGCCUUGGACACAAGAGGGCACCACUUACUGGCCUCAAACCGCAAUCAGACAAAGUUGGAACUCUGCCCAGACCAAGAAACACCAACACAGACUCAGCCCACACACGAGCCAUGAAGUCCCCGCACAGCGCGGGCGCUGCCUGCAUGCACAGCUCAUGGGCAGCUGCAGCCUCAGACCCAUCUCAGGAGUGCAUGGUAACGGUGUCGACACUAGAACAGCAACAUAUGGUGUCCUGGAGUGGCACAACAGCAUCCAGCAGGGCCACCCUGAGUCGGGGUUCCCACCAGAGACCUGGCACAGAUCCAUCUCGCAACGGGCAUCCACCAACAAGCAGCACAGAAAAAAGGGAACACUAGUCUUUGUGAAGCAACUUUGCCGCAGUUGCCGCCUUGUUCAUAAACGCUAUGAGAUUUUCUCUCUGCGAGCGACAGAGAAUGAUGGCAGAGAAAGAAAGUGCAAGAUAAAAUGUGGAGCUGUAAAUGUCAUGUACAGACACAGACACCAGUCUCACAGUGUUAUUUUCAUCCCCCUCUUCAAAAGAGUCGACACUAUGUUCUAUGUCUGCUUCUGUUUUCUGUCACACCAUGUACAACAAUUCACACAGCGGAGAUGAAGCGUAAUCACAAGAAAAAUGGCUAAAAUCAAAGGACUUGCAUCAUUUGUAAAUAUAUUUUUUAAUGUCAUUUGUUUUUCUUUUAAAUUAUUAUUAUUAUUAUUAUUAUUUUAUUUUGCUAUGCAAGCCGAACCUGAUGUUGUCUCUUUUGUAAUUUAUUAAUGUGAGCCAUUCUCAAUAAUGCUCAAAACCUUAGUUUAUUUUGAUGAAGCUUCUGUAUUGUUGUAUUUUUGCACAGAGAGGUCUGGUGGAAAUAAGCACAAACUCAUUGUCGGCCGAGCUGAGGAAGGUGAAGACAGACGUCUCAGUUCAACAGAACCUAAACAGAUGAUAAUAUAUACUGUUGCAAUUGUUUUGAGAAAUACCAAUAUAUAUCGUAUGGAGCGUUUCAAGGCAAAAAAAAAAGAAAAAAAAGAAAAAAGGGAGUAAUAUGCCAAAAUAAUGUUUGCUGAGAACCUUAUUAUGCAUUGUACUUAUAAUAACACUUGGCAUAUCUUUAUGGUAACAAAAGCAAAAUAUCAGAUAUCCAAAGUUACUUCUCUGCCAUGUCCAAAAGGGUCUGUUAGCAAAAUUCUAUGUAUAUUCUUUCAGAUAGAGCUACUCAAAUUACACAAAUGAGUGAUGUGAUGACAGUGCAAUACUCAAAGGACAGCAUGGGAAC